CCUACGGGUGGCAGCAGUGGGGAAUAUUGGACAAUGGGCGAAAGCCUGAUCCAGCCAUGCCGCGUGUGUGAAGAAGGCCUUCGGGUUGUAAAGCACUUUCAGUGGGGAAGAAAGCCUUGGGGCUAAUACCCUCGAGGAAGGACAUCACCCACAGAAGAAGCACCGGCUAACUCCGUGCCAGCAGCCGCGGUAAUACGGCGGGUGCGAGCGUUAAUCGGAAUUACUGGGCGUAAAGCGCGCGUAGGCGGUCUGAUAAGCCGGUUGUGAAAGCCCCGGGCUCAACCUGGGAACGGCAUCCGGAACUGUCAGGCUAGGGUGCAGGAGAGGAAGGUAGAAUUCCCGGUGUAGCGGUGAAAUGCGUAGAGAUCGGGAGGAAUACCAGUGGCGAAGGCGGCCUUCUGGACUGACACUGACGCUGAGGUGCGAAAGCGUGGGUAGCAAACAGGAUUAGAUACCCUUGUAGUC
rnacentral:rRNA from 1 species